ACGAACGCUGGCGGCGUGCUUAACACAUGCAAGUCGAACGGUGAAGCGCCUUCCUUUUUGGUGGGUGUGGAUGAGUGGCGAACGGGUGAGUAACACGUGAGUAACCUGCCCCCUUCUUCUGGAUAACCGCAUGAAAGUGUGGCUAAUACGGGAUAUUCUGGGUCUGUCGCAUGAUGGGUCUGGGAAAGAUAUUGUUUCGGUGGGGGAUGGGCUCGCGGCCUAUCAGCUUGUUGGUGGGGUGAUGGCCUACCAAGGCGGUGACGGGUAGCCGGCCUGGGAGGGUGGACGGUCACACUGGGGCUGAGACACGGCCCAGACUCCUACGGGAGGCAGCAGUGGGGAAUAUUGCACAAUGGGCGCAAGCCUGAUGCAGCGACGCCGCGUGAGGGAUGGAGGCCUUCGGGUUGUGAACCUCUUUCGCCAGUGAAGCAGGCCUGCCUCGUUUGUGGGUGGGUUGACGGUAGCUGGAUAAGAAGCGCCGGCUAACUACGUG
rnacentral:rRNA from 1 species